AAUAUUUGACUCUUCAUCUUAUUUAAAAUUUUUCUAUAAUUAAUAUUUUUAUUGUUAUUAGAUGACAAAACAUGAAUAGUACUUUAUGCGAGACUUCUUUUCAUAAAUUUUUCGAAUAAAAUGGACGGUCAAACAUU
rnacentral:pre_miRNA from 1 species